CAGCCAGCCAGAGAAUCCCCCGCCGCCUCGCCUUCUCCUCCCUGUGCCGCAAGCAGCAGGCGCACCUCGCAAACCGAUUGUGUAAAUUUUAUUUUUGUAAAAAAAGGUUCCACAUGUCACUGUUGAAGUGGGGCAUUAAUCAGUGUGACACCACUUGUAAACAUGCUGCAGGUGUGGGGGUUCCCAGCCAGAGCUGCAUGGACUCCACACUGCAUCCGUUUAUGUGUUCCCUACUUGUGCUAAACAGGGAUGAGGAGAGGCCUGCUGUUGCUGCUUGACACUGAUUUUGCUGCUGCACUUUGUCUUUUAGAGCUGCAUGGACUCCACACUGGGAUGAGGAGAGACCUGCUGUUGCUGUGUGACACCGAUUUUGCUGCUGCACUUUGUCUCUUAGAAAAUAAAUCCAGUUUUCAACCAC